CGGGAGGACGCGAGGCUUCCGGCUUUGCUGUCCGGCUGCUGGCUGCUGCGGCUGCGUAUUUAUCUAAAUUCAACAACCAUUGAAAAUUCAAAAGGACACAGACAGCUCUGAACUCUCAAAAUGUAUGGAAUAGAUUUAUCCUCAAACCUUGAAUGACUCCACCAUGAACUGAGAAUCAACCAGGAAAACUCCACAGACUCGGAACUCCCACUGUUCUAGCUGCUGGACCAGCUGUUUCAUCACAGGUAGAUGUGUGUACAACUCAAUCUGACCUACAUGGAGACAUUACAAUAAUAUUACAAUCAGGAAAUAUAUCAUCAGAUUACAGGAAAAGAUUUUUCCCAUAAGAUGGUUAAGAAGGAAGUCAAUCAUGGUAAUAAGUAAUAUACUCAAAAUUGUAAAGGGUCUUACAGUGUCUUGAAGUAAAUUAACACCUACGGCACUGCCUCCAUGGGAGCCCCAAGGAAACUAUUCAGUUUAUGCAGAAAAUGAGAUUCUCCAUACUUUGGCUUUUUCCAGUUAAAAUCAAAUGCUACACAGAUUAUGAUGUAUGCCCUUUUCUGUGGGAGUAUGUAUGGUCAAUUAAAACUAAGGGAAAAUAGGGGUGAAUGUUGAAACCACAAUGUUGUUCAUGUGAAACCUCUAUAAGAUUGUCUAUCAAUGAUACCUUAAUUUAAAACAAACAAACAAACAAAUAAAUAAAAGCAAGGGGGGAAAAAAAGUGAGAGCCAUGAAUGAUCAAAGCUACGUUAGACUCAAGCCUAAAUUUCACAAUUUGGCUUAAGAAGUUGUGUGAUUAUCUGUCCCUUACCAGCCUCAUCCCAUACUUUUCAUUAUUCAUGGUGCUCCAGCUACACUGGCCUUUUCGUACCUCAAGCCCACUUUGUUUCUUCCUGCCUCAGGCCUUCAGCGCGCUGUGCCCACAGCCUCCCUCACCAUCAUCCCACGGCCCAGCUUACAGGCAACUUGAUCAGAAGCCUCUUCUCCCUGUCCCACUGCAUGAUGGUCUGUGCUACUACAGUGAGGCCAUCUGUCACAAAUAAACAUUAAAUGGUAAUCUGGGUGAUUUUUAUUUAUACUGCUGGCACUCCCACUUGACUAUAAGCUCCAGGAGGGCAGAAACCAUAGGUGCUUGGCUUUCUGUGCUAUGCCCAGUGUACAAAGAAAGCACUUAGUGAACUCAGUGAAUGAAUUAGAACCAAUGAGCAAAUGCUUUGUUUCUUACUACAGUAUGGUUUAGGGCUACAAAUGCUCACUCCACUUUUUCUCACUGAGGACAGAACUAGCACAACUUCAAGGAAAGGGACACAUUCAA